GUGCCAGCCGCUGCGGUAAUACGUAGGGAGCAAGCGUUGUCCGGAAUCAUUGGGCGUAAAGAGCUCGUAGGCGGCUUGGUAAGUCGGAUGUGAAAGCUCCAGGCUCAACCUGGAGUCGCCAUCCGAUACUGCCAUGGCUAGAGUCUGGUAGGGGUCCACGGAAUUCCUGGUGUAGCGGUGAAAUGCGCAGAUAUCAGGAGGAACACCGGUGGCGAAGGCGGUGGACUGGGCCAGUACUGACGCUGAGGAGCGAAAGCGUGGGAGCGAACAGGAUUAGAUACCCUGGUAGUCCACGCCGUAAACGUUGGCACGUAGGUGUGGACCUUUCGAAC
rnacentral:rRNA from 1 species